UCCUUGUUCCCUACCUUACUUAAAUAAAUCCCUACCAUCCCAUACAUUUUAACUUAUGAUUUCUACCUAUCCCUUGUAUAGAAAAUAAUAGCCUUUAAAGAGGGACAACAAGCAAGCUACAUACUUUCAUGGGUUUCUUUAAAUUUUGGAAGGAAGGUAC